rnacentral:rRNA from 1 species
UACGGGGGGGGUAAGCGUUGUUCGGAAUUACUGGGCGUAAAGGGCUCGUAGGCGGCCAACUAAGUCAUACGUGAAAUCCCUCAGCUUAACUGGGGAACUGCGUGUGAUACUGGAUGGCUUGGAUUUGGGAGAGGGAUGCGGAACUCCAGGUGUAGCGGUGAAAUGCGUAGAUAUCUGGAGGAACACCGGUGGCGAAGGCGGCAUCCUGGACCGGCAUUGACGCUGAGGCGCGAAAGCCAGGGGAGCAAAGCGGG